rnacentral:lncRNA from 1 species
AGUUGUACAUGUGAUUAAAGAUCAGACCAAACAAUUGUGGUACGACGCAGCUGCAAAAGCUAGCUACCUCAUCAACAAUACUGCAGCUGCAAUUGCGGUUGCAAACUGCAAUUUGAAACCUUGGUGCUAACAAUAUUACAUGAAAUGUUUGUCUGAAAAAAGUCUCGUGUUUCAAUGUAUGUUUCAAGCAUUAACGCUCGACUUAGAAAGGAAAUUGCCUACCAGAUGCUGUGAUCGAUGCUGGUGGGUAGAUAAGUAUUAC